AUCUUCCUUUGUCAAACCGCCAAUUCUCCCGUGACAUGCCAUAGCUUCCAAUCUUCAACCGCUUCUUGAAUUUCUCUUCUCAUCUAGCUUCCAUAAUGGCUCUCUUCUCUUUUACACCUUCAAUAAAGAGAUGUAAAGAAUCUUAAGUAUAUGCCAUAAGAAUAUAAGCUUAGUAUGAGUAAGAUAGAUAAAAUGAACUAGCUUUUCAAGACUAAGUUCCAUUUAAUCAACAAAUAAAAUUCAGAAUUUAAACAUGUAAAUUCAAGAUUAAUCAUGCUAUAAAUCCGGUUUAUUUAAAUUCAAUACCAAUGGCAAAUAACAAAUUAAAUUCCAGAUUUUAAUCAUGACAAUUUAAAUUGUAAGCUAAUCAUA
rnacentral:lncRNA from 1 species